rnacentral:rRNA from 1 species
AUGGUGGAUAUCCAGUUAAGCUGUUACACUAUAAAGUCCCAUGGAGCCAAAAUUGCAAGACUCCACAUGUAUGACUGGAUAAUACUUGUCCUCCUUGCUGUCAUAGAUGGAUUGUUGAAUAUAAUAAAGCCUUUUCACCGUUUUGUUGGGAAGGACAUGAUGACUGACUUGAGAUAUCCCUUACAGGGCAAUACUGUGCCCUUUUGUCCUGUUCCGCUCAUUGGAAUCGUCCUACCCUGUGUCAUCUUUGGUGGAAUUUACUUCAAGAAGAAGAAUUUCUAUGAUUUGCACCAUGGCAUACUGGGUAUUCUUUAUUCGGUGCUCAUAACUGCAGUGAUUACUGAUGCAAUUAAGGAUGGAGUUGGCCGACCGCGUCCUGAUUUCUUCUGGCGCUGUUUCCUAGAUGGAAAGGAUCUUUAUGAUAAUGUCACUACUGGCGUUCUGUGCCAUGGGGAGAAGAGUGUAAUCAAGGAAGGUCACAAGAGCUUCCCAAGUGGACACGCAUCAUGGUCUUUCGCCGGCCUGGGCUUCCUCAUGUGGUACCUAACUGGGAAAAUCGCGGUUUUCGACCGCAAAGGCCACAUCGCAAAACUGUGCAUCAUUGUUCUGCCUCUGCUUACUGCCGCGCUCGUUGCCGUUUCCCGAGUGGACGACUACUGGCAUCACUGGCAAGAUGUGUUUGCAGGAGCCAUCAUAGGAUUGUGGCCUUACGCGUACAACACCCUCCAGCUAGCCGAGGCGGGCAUCGCAGCAAACUCCUUCGGCGUGCGGCCCACGGAGGAGACAGUGGAAGAAGGGCAAGGUGAGGGUGGGAUCGCCCUGAGAGACGCCGUGCGGCCCAUGGAGGAGACGGUAGAAGAAGGGCGAGGCCGGGGCGGGGUCGCCCUAUGA